rnacentral:rRNA from 1 species
CCUACGGGAGGCUGCAGUGGGGAAUAUUGCACAAUGGGCGCAAGCCUGAUGCAGCCAUGCCGCGUGUGUGAAGAAGGCCUUCGGGUUGUAAAGCACUUUCAGCGGGGAGGAAGGCGUUAAGGUUAAUAACCUUGGCGAUUGACGUUACCCGCAGAAGAAGCACCGGCUAACUCCGUGCCAGCAGCCGCGGUAAUACGGAGGGUGCAAGCGUUAAUCGGAAUUACUGGGCGUAAAGCGCACGCAGGCGGUCUGUCAAGUCGGAUGUGAAAUCCCCGGGCUCAGCCUGGGAACUGCAUUCGAAACUGGCAGGCUAGAGUCUUGUAGAGGGGGGUAGAAUUCCAGGUGUAGCGGUGAAAUGCGUAGAGAUCUGGAGGAAUACCGGUGGCGAAGGCGGCCCCCUGGACAAAGACUGACGCUCAGGUGCGAAAGCGUGGGGAGCAAACAGGAUUAGAUACCCGAGUAGUC